UACGAAGGGGGCUAGCGUUGCUCGGAUUUUACUGGGCGUAAAGGGCGCGUAGGCGGACAGUUUAAGUUUGGGGGUGAAAGCCCGGGGCUCAACCUCGGAAUUGCCUUCAAUACUGGCUGUCUUUGAGUGUGAGAGAGGUGUGUGGAACUCCGAGUGUAGAGGUGAAAUUCGUAGAUAUUCGGAAGAACACCAGUGGCGAAGGCGACACACUGGCUCACUACUGACGCUGAGGCGCGAAAGCGUGGGGAGCAAACAGG
rnacentral:rRNA from 1 species